ACCGGCAGACAGGAACCCAGGCCGGAAUAAAGACGCGGAUGCACUGCUGUGUGUACUGUAGAGUCUGGCGGAUGUCGACAGGCUCUAUUUUUUUAU
rnacentral:sRNA from 1 species